UCGCCGCCUCCUCUCCCCACUUCCACCGCGCGCCGCCACCUCUCCCCCUUCCACCGCGCGCUGCCUCCUCCCCCCGCUUCCACCGCGCAUCGCCACCUCUCCCCCUUCCACGCUCCUCCCCAUCCACCGGGCGCCGCCACCUCCUCCUUCGCCAAAUCCGCCGCGCGCCGCCACCUCGCUCCCCAUCCACCGUGCCCCGCUUCCCCCUCCGCCUCGGCGAAAUCCUCCCACCUCCUCCACACCUUCCUCCAAGUCGGCGGCGGCGGCGAGUUCAAAGUUCGAAGCUGCAAGCGCGGUGGUUCCCUGAGCCAGAGAAGGUGUGUUUCGAUUUGGGAAGAAGAAGGCCUUGCUGUCCAGUGAGCAGGCAACCAUAAAAAGGGCUAGCAGAGGUGCUGUAAAAAAAAAACCAAGAACCUACAAGAACCAUAAAAGAGAUGAUUUGUAUUGUUUUUGGGACCUCGAUACACCUACAAGAACCUUAGUUGCAUCUAAGUUAUGUAAUUAUUUCUAUGUACUUGAAGAACUCCAUUAUAUCUAAGUUGGACAUUUAUGUAAUAGCUAUUUGAGCUGAUGGACAACUGCUAUUUGUAUCAGAAUACUGCUAUUGUGAUACUGGAACUUGAAGGC
rnacentral:lncRNA from 1 species